UUCGGAUGUGUGUUUGUGUCUGUCUAGUCUGAAUUGAUGCUGGUUGCAGUCUGCUUUUCCGUGAAGUCCAGGCGAUUGCAGUGCAGUAGUUGUGUUGCAUCAGUUUUGAAGCCUGUUCUUGAUUUUCUUUUACAAUCAUUUACUUUUACUGUAGUCUGCUAGUGUGUUCAAUGUUCUAUCUAGACCAUUAUCUGGUUGGGAAACAAAUGACUCACCCACAAAAACAGCCGACUCACAGUGGUGCGUCUGCGAUGUCUGUGCAUGAGCAGAACGGCCCUGAAGUCUUAGGCGCCCGCCUCAAUGUUUUCAGCACACCACUCUUGCAGCCAUGAUGACUCUCUCUGUGCUAGUUAGGCUUUCCAUUUGAAAAGGACUGGGCACUCAGCUGAUCUGUUCCAGGCUUUCACACAAACGAUCUUCUUAAACGUCAAAAACCUGAGAGGCAAGUGUGUGUUUCCACUCAAGGAUUAAUAAUUAAAAUGUAGCGAUCGAGUUAAAAGUGAUCCCUAUGCAAAUAUCGUCGUAGACAAAGCAGACAGAUUUGGGUUAGUGAUGAAAUGUUUUGGGCAUCAUUUUGAUGAAUCAUUCAUGAUUGUGAUUUUGAGUGUCGUAUCACCAAUACGUCACCUCAUUAGUGAGAGGGUUGACUGGACGUAGAUGAUGAGGUCAUAUAAUCUAUUGACUAUCAAGCCUGGUAAGAAUCCUGAACAACCGAAAGGAAUCAAUAUCUUUGCGUCAUUGUAUUGACUGGUCAAAGUUGGCAGGCUUGCUCACGGGGGUGUCGAUAACCUGGCAAGACAUUAGAACUCCAGAACUCCACUUGUAGUGAUUGAUGGCCAUCUGAGUGCGUGGGCCUCCACUGGGCAGGACCUGGGACCUCACCUGCUGCCCUUUCUGGG
rnacentral:lncRNA from 1 species